AGUGAACGCUGGCGGUAGGCCUAACACAUGCAAGUCGAACGGCAGCACAGUAAGAGCUUGCUCUUACGGGUGGCGAGUGGCGGACGGGUGAGGAAUACAUCGGAAUCUACUUUUUCGUGGGGGAUAACGUAGGGAAACUUACGCUAAUACCGCAUAUGACCUACGGGUGAAAGCAGGGGAUCUUCGGACCUUGCGCGAUUGAAUGAGCCGAUGUCGGAUUAGCUAGUUGGCGGGGUAAAGGCCCACCAAGGCGACGAUCCGUAGCUGGUCUGAGAGGAUGAUCAGCCACACUGGAACUGAGACACGGUCCAGACUCCUACGGGAGGCAGCAGUGGGGAAUAUUGGACAAUGGGCGCAAGCCUGAUCCAGCCAUACCGUGUGGGUGAAGAAGGCCUUCGGGUUGUAAAGCCCUUUUGUUGGGAAAGAAAAGCAGCAGGUUAAUACCCCGCUGUUCUGACGGUACCCAAGGAAUAAGCACCGGCUAACUUCGUG
rnacentral:rRNA from 1 species